UACGUAGGGUGCGAGCGUUGUCCGGAAUUAUUGGGCGUAAAGAGCUUGUAGGCGGUCUGUCGCGUCUGCUGUGAAAAUCCGGGGCUCAACCCCGGACUUGCAGUGGGUACGGGCAGACUAGAGUGUGGUAGGGGAGACUGGAAUUCCUGGUGUAGCGGUGAAAUGCGCAGAUAUCAGGAGGAACACCGAUGGCGAAGGCAGGUCUCUGGGCCGCAACUGACGCUGAGAAGCGAAAGCAUGGGGAGCGAACAGG
rnacentral:rRNA from 1 species